rnacentral:rRNA from 1 species
AACGCGAAGAACCUUACCUGGGCUUGAACCGCUACUGACCAAGGGUAGAAAUAUCCUCUUCCCGCAAGGGACAGUAGUAGAGGUGCUGCAUGGCUGUCGUCAGCUCGUGCCGUGAGGUGUUGGGUUAAGUCCCGCAACGAGCGCAACCCUUACUCGUAGUUGCUACCCGCAAGGGAGAACUCUACGAGGACUGCUCCGGAUAACGGAGAGGAAGGUGGGGAUGACGUCAAGUCAGCACGGCCUUUAUGUCCAGGGCUACACACGUGUUACAAUGCAUGGUACAGACUGUUGCGAACCCGCGAGGGGGAGCUAAUCGGACAAAGCCAUGCUCAGUUCGGAUUGCAGUCUGCAACUCGGCUGCAUGAAGCUGGAAUCGCUAGUAAUGGCGCAUCAGAUCGGCGCCGUGAAUACGUUCCCGGGCCUUGUA